GGGGAUUCAGAGGAGCGGCGGAUUUGUUUCCCCUUCCACACACAAGCCACCCCCAUCACCGGCCCAAAUAGCAACGUCUGCGUUGGAGGAGGCGUGAGGAAGAUCAGGGUCAUGAGCCAGGUGAGGAACAGGUUACAGAUUUCCAACUGCAUCAACAACCCUUGCCUGAAUGCUACAGCGAUCCAUGGGAAGCUCAAGGUCACCUUCAGCUGUCAGUGCCUCGCCCCCACCCUUUCUCCCUCUCAGGGCAGGACGGGGGGCGGAGAUGGAGGGCCCACCACCAGUGGCUCAGACCAGCGUGCUGGCAGUAAAUCAUCGCCACAGCACAAGCCUCCAGCCCAGCUGCACACUAAUGGUGUCCGGGGCAACGCCAGGGAGGAUUAAAGUUAAGACAUGACAAACACAGUCAGAUGACAUCAUCACCACCGAUGCUGACGAGUGAAGAGGGGGUGGGUAAAUGACGUAUCUC
rnacentral:lncRNA from 1 species